rnacentral:rRNA from 1 species
AUGAACGCUAGCGGCAGGCUUAACACAUGCAAGUCGAGGGGCAGCAUGAGACGGAGAUUCGUCGAAGUCUUGAUGGCGACCGGCGCAAGGGUGCGUAACGCGUGAGCAACUUGCCCGUUUCAGGGGGAUAACCGUUGGAAACGACGACUAAUACCCCAUAGUAUCGUGAAGAGGCAUCUCUUUAUGAUUAAAGAAUUUCGGAAACGGAUAGGCUCGCGUGACAUUAGCUAGAUGGCGGGGUAACGGCCCACCAUGGCAACGAUGUCUAGGGGUUCUGAGAGGAAGGUCCCCCACACUGGAACUGAGACACGGUCCAGACUCCUACGGGAGGCAGCAGUGAGGAAUAUUGGUCAAUGGUCUGACGACUGAACCAGCCAUGCCGCGUGAAGGUGACGGCCCUAUGGGUCUUAAACUUCUUUUGUAAGGGAGCAAUAAGCGCCACGUGUGGCGUGAUGAGAGUACCUUACGAAUAAGCAUCGGCUAACUCCGUG